UAGAUGAGUCGUAUGACUCCAUAAACACAUAGGUUUGGUCCCAGCCUUUCUAUUAGUUGUUAAUAAAAUUACACAUGCAAAUAUCCGUAGUCCAGUGAGAAUGCCCUCCAAGUCAUCCCAGAUGAUAAAAAGGAGCAGGUAUCAAGCACACUAAAUAGUAGCUCAUAACGCCUUGCUUAACCACGCCCCCACGGGAUACAGCAGUGAUAAAAAUUAAGCCAUGAACGAAAGUUUGACUAAGUUAUAUUACUCAAGGGUUGGUAAAUCUCGUGCCAGCCACCGCGGUCAUACGAUUAACCCGAACUAAUAGACAUACGGCGUAAAGCGUGUUUAGGGUAUAUUAAAUAAUAAAGCCAAAUCUUAGCUAAGCUGUAAAAAGCCGUAGCUAUCAGAAGACCUCUCACGAAAGUAGCUUUAGAACAUCUGAAUACACGACAGCUAAGACCCAAACUGGGAUUAGAUACCCCACUAUGCUUAGCCUUAAACCUAAAACAUUCUCUUUUUCAACAAAAUCAUUCGCCAGAGUACUACUAGCCAAAGCUUAAAACUCAAAGGACUUGGCGGUGCUUUAUAUCCUUCUAGAGGAGCCUGUUCUAU
rnacentral:rRNA from 1 species